CAUAAAACAUAAAAACCCUGCGAUUGCAAUAUUUUUUGUAUAGUUCUUUAAAAGUAAAAAGGAAACUUGUUUUGGGAGAAUAAAAUAACUCUGGGCUGAGUUU